rnacentral:rRNA from 1 species
UGGCGGACGGGUGAGUAACGCGUGGGUAACCUGCCUUACACAGGGGGAUAACACCUGGAAACAGGUGCUAAUACCGCAUAAGCGCACAGCUUCGCAUGAAGCGGUGUGAAAAACUCUGGUGGUAUACGAUGGUUCCGCGUCUGAUUAGCUAGUUGGUGGGGUAAUGGCCUACCAAGGCAACGAUCAGUAGCCGGCCUGAGAGGGUGAACGGCCACAUUGGGACUGAGACACGGCCCAAACUCCUACGGGAGGCAGCAG